rnacentral:rRNA from 1 species
CCUACGGGGGGCAGCAGUGAGGAAUAUUGGUCAAUGGACGAGAGUCUGAACCAGCCAAGUAGCGUGAAGGAUGACUGCCCUAUGGGUUGUAAACUUCUUUUAUAUGGGAAUAAAAUGGUCCACGUGUGGGAUUUUGUAUGUACCAUAUGAAUAAGGAUCGUCUAACUCCGUGCCAGAAGACGCGGUAAUACGGAGGAUCCGGGCGUUAUCCGGAUUUAUUGGGUUUAAAGGGAGCGUAGGUGGAUUGUUAAGUCAGUUGUGAAAGUUUGCGGCUCAACCGUAAAAUUGCAGUUGAAACUGGCAGUCUUGAGUACAGUAGAGGUGGGCGGAAUUCGUGGUGUAUCGGUGAAAUGCUUAGAUAUCACGAAGAACUCCGAUUGUGAAGGCAGUUCACUUGACUGCAACUUACACUGAGGCUCGAAAGUGUGGGUAUCAAACUGUAUUUGAUACCCCAGUAGUC